rnacentral:rRNA from 1 species
GAGUUUGAUCAUGGCUCAAGAUGAACGCUGGCGGCGUGCCUAAUACAUGCAAGUCGAGCGCAAAGAUCAGGAGCUUGCUCCUUUGAUUUGAGCGGCGGACGGGUGAGUAACACGUAGGCAACCUACCCUUGAGAUUGGGAUAACUACCGGAAACGGUAGCUAAUACCGGAUACGACCGUUCUGCAUAAGCAGAAUGGUUAAAAGGCGGAUUUAUCUGCCGCUCAUGGAUGGGCCUGCGGUGCAUUAGCUAGUUGGUGAGAUAGUAGCUCACCAAGGCGACGAUGCAUAGCCGACCUGAGAGGGUGAUCGGCCACACUGGGACUGAGACACGGCCCAGACUCCUACGGGAGGCAGCAGUAGGGAAUCUUCCGCAAUGGACGCAAGUCUGACGGAGCAACGCCGCGUGAGUGAUGAAGGGUUUCGGCU